AGGGCCAUAUCACGUUGAAACACCGGUUCCCGUAGGAUCACCGAAGUUAAACAACGCCAUGCCUUGUCAGUACCUAGAUGGGUGACCGCUUGUUUAUACCAUGUGCUGA